rnacentral:sRNA from 1 species
GUCGUUGGCGGAUCGCCGACGCUCGCGAGACCCCGGCCUCCAACGGGCGCACCUUCGGCUCCGUCGAGCGCUGGAGGAUAAAAGCUGCCGUCCCGAGGGCAAGGAAGAUCGUGCUGAUCAGCAUGCCGGCUUCAGGAAACAUAACUACCGCCAAACCCACCGACAGCGACGCGCCGGCAAUAUAGACCAGUUCGUCUGCCGAAGACUCGAAGGCGAAGGCGGUGUUCAGCUCCGGACGGUUGCGGAAUAUCUCGGUCCAGCGGGCACGGACCAGGGCGGGUAUGCUCGGCAUCGCGGCGGCGAGGAAAGCCGAGGCGAACAGCGUCCAUGCCGGCCAGUCCCGAUUGGCUGCAAGGAUCAACACCAGGAACGCAAGAACCGAUAUGAUCGUUGUCGGAACGACCACGGCCGUCUGGCCGACGCGAUCGACCAGACGGGAUAUCUGCGGG